UCCGGAUAGAGAGUUUAGCAGAGGGGUGAAAUGGCGUAGCUGAGCUCAGCGGGCCGGGCCGGGCCGAAACCGGAGGAAAACCCGGACCCCCGCAACCAGCACAAACACACAGGAGCCUGCGGACGAGUCCUAAGAUCACACCGUUGAAGGAGAGGAGGGCGACGGGUCCACGACCCGUUGCACGUCCUGUCCUGCUAACGGAACCGUUUCACCAUGCUUUGGCACAAGACCACAAUGGGACCAUUACCUGGUAUGCUUCACUUCACUCCUGGAUAGCGCUUCACCUCACAGUCCAGGAGUCAUGGAGGUCGGCAUCAGCAGUGAAGUCUGGAAGUCCAUUUCUUGUCCGUUCAUCCACGGCUCUCAUGGGGAGGAUCACACAAUCAGCUGCAAAUAAGUUCUCAUGUGAAAUGUAAAGCAUCCAACAUUUUUACUCCUCUGGUCUUAGUACAGAUCUUGUAUGUUUCAAUUGUACCCCAUUAUAGCUCUUCAAACUGUGUCCAGUCAGUUGAAUUUUGCACAUUUCACAUUGAGAAUCUGCAGCUUGUGGCCCUGAAGUUAGACUUCAGUUUGUAUGAAAGAAAUUACUUUCCAUCAUACAGUAACACUAAAGUGUUUUAAAAUAGAUAACUUUUGUAAGUAUGCGUUCGCCUGCUCUUGUAGAUUCUCCCUGAAGCUGCCGCUUCCGUUUUUUAGUGCUGCACACAUCCCUCCAUCUUUCACUGUUAACCUGUAUAAAGCUGUAGCCCACAUUGUGGAAUUAAUUCUCUAGAUCAUCCAAACUGUUUAGUUUAGAUAGCUCAGUCAGAAAUGCUGAUGUUGCUCAAGACGAAUGAAGGCGAACACCCGCUGAGCAGCAUUAAACAAUGGACUGUGUGAAUUGGUAGCUACUAGCUUCUACUCACUGUUAGCCAUGUGAGCAUGUUUGGCAUAGCUGUUCCUUAGCUACACGCUUCGUUCUAGCUACACAAGAUGGUUCUUCAAGAGCUCAUUAAAGACAGUGGUUCUAUUUAGAACCAUGCAUUCUAGGUAGAGCUACUUGCGUGCUUGAGUGGACUUUUGCAUGGUCAAAUGGUUCUUUUUAGAUUGAUCGAGAAUGUGCUGUAUGUGGUUCUGUAUAGCACCAAAAAGGGUUCUGCUGCUGUUAUGAUGUAAAGCUUGUAACAAAAGAACUCUUUUGGUGCCACAGGGAACCGUUUUCCAUGUAGAAUCAUAUACCAUCACUCACCAUGCAGAGAGCCAUUAAAGCAUGCAAAUGAUUCUGUGUAGAACUCAUGGUUCUUAAUAGAACUGUUGCUUUUACUAAAGAACCCUUGAAGAAUCAUCUUUUUAAGUGUGUAGCUGUUCUAUUUAGCUUUAGCCACCCCUUCUGUUUUUUUGUAUAUAUAUUUUCAUGGCAGAGUUAACUGAAUGCUUUAUCGAGUUACAUAAGAAAAGCCAAAUAGCUUUAUUUUAUACAUCUGUACAUCGACUAUGCUAAUAUCUUCAGCUGCACGCAAUGUAGCAUUCUUAGUAGAGUUAUGUUGAUGGUUUAAAAGGAGGUGAAAACCCGAGGAAGAGGCCAAAAAAUAUUCUUAUGUUGAUCUACACAGGAAAAGUGGACCCUAGUGAAGCUGGUGGUAUUUCUUUGUGUGGACAUGCUGGUGUUGGUUUUAGUAAUAAUCAUAGGAGCUUGUGGAAGGACUGUGUUUAGUGGGUGUAAAAGCCGUCAUCCAUGUGUUUACGUUCCUGUUUUUCGUGAGAUUUGGCAUUUCCACCGGGAUAAGUAGAGGAAUUGAUUUCUAUCUCAUUAUUCGAUGCAUGUUGGACAUCAUAGUAACAGCGUAUAAUGUAUUUUGAUGGUAUCAGUCACACUAGUUGUAUAUGAGGAUGGAAAAGUUCUGCAAGGCACUUGUAAAUUUCCCCACUUGGACUGUUAACCUGGUCCUUAUUUUAACCCCUUGUGCUCUCAUGUGCCUGCCUAGCUCCACCCGAAAUUUUUAGUAGCACAAAAACCAGCAAGAUUUCUGAACGAGUGAGUUGGGCGCCCCAGUUUGAACCUGAUCCUGGGUAAGACAUCCAGGGACGUGGGAUAUGUGCAAUACACGUGCCCUUCCCCUUUUUUUUUUGUCCUGUUUUGAGAUAAAUGUGUAUAUUGUACAAACAAGUGACGAGUUGUUCGUGAAAAAAACAACAAAAUCACCAAUGUCUUCCAUUAAAUGAUGUAUAGAUUCAUCCGCUUACUUUGCUGUAGCGGGAUUUGUCGUGCCAACAUUAUAUGUGGCCAUGCAUGACUGGACAUGAUGCUUGCAGAAUAAAGUAGUUGUAGUAAAAAAUACAGUAUAUAUACUAUAAUUAAUAUUAGCAACAUAGUUAACCAGAUAUAGGUAGUUACUGCUGUGGAUGGAGCUUCCUUUCCUCGCAUAGGAACUUUGGAUAGCUUUUAAGGGAAUCACAAAAACUAAGAGAGGCCUAGAGGAAGACCAUUCGUUUUGUUCGUCACGUGUUCUUUGGUUACUCAUUUCACCCGGAAUAUCAUCGUCGACCGGCUAAAGAAGCAGCCGUUGGUUUUACUAGCGUGAACAUAGCGAAUGCAUGAUAUAAACGUCGUAAUUCUGCUAGUUUGUGUUAACGUAAGGGGUUUUUGUGUCAAAAAGCUAACCAGCAUCUCCCACCCUAAUCGUACCCUUACCCUUCCAAUGCAAAGUCAAAGUCAAUGAAGGACAAACUCAAGGUUUUGUGCAUCUUGAGUGAUUUUUAUGAUCAAAUAAGUAGGUGCUUCAUGGUUCUAUCAGCAACAUGCGAAUUAGGAGGUGGUAAUUUUGUCCAAUUGUGAAAGUACUAAACACAAACGUGGAGAAUAGGAACCGAAUAAAGAAUUCUCUUUAAUUUAGUGCCGUCUCACACGUAGUUGCGGAUGCCUCUGAGCUUUAGGAGGACAGUUACUUAGUUAGCUUCAAGGUAGCACAAAUUCUAGUGUAGAUUUUGGGGAAAAAACAUGCCCUAACAAUCAAAAUAUUGUAAUGUAGAUAAAUACCUCAAUGACUGGAAUGCAAAAUAUAUAUUUUUAGAUUACACUUACAUAUAUGCAAGCCAUAAUACAUCUAACAUUAGCUAUUUAGAAGCAAUAACCUUAUUAUAUGCAUGAAUUAUAGUGCCAGAAUGGUGUUUUGUGGAAUGGAAAACUGUAGCAUACUCGUAGCUGUGGUGGUUGUUAAGGCCUUUUACAUGGCCCAACUGUUAAUGUCCACUGGUAGAACAUAUUGAAAUAUCCCACAACAGUAGGCCAGUCUUUAGCAGCUGAUCAAACAAUUUACUUUCAUCGGUCACUAUAACCAAAAAAAACAUUAGUGAAUGUAGUACCUAAACUUUGCAUUUUGGACGGAAAAUAAUGUGGCGAGGGAAAAUAGUUAACAAUGUUAAACUAUAUGCACUGCAUGUUUUAUGUUGUUAAAAACCGGCACAGCGGCAGAAACCGUAAUCAUAACGCACACAAACUGUAUAUGCAGUCAGUUAACUGAAAGCAAUAGGAGCAGUGUGUUGGCUAGCUGGUGACGACACUCAAGCUGUAUCUUGGUAGGUAGUUUCAAGUUGUAGGUACCGACGGUUCUUUCAGAUAUCACAGCAAACUUAAGUGGACAUCAUUGUGCAAUGGUUAUCGUAAGCCUAGUAUUAAUUGGUGUUUUUAUAUCGGAAUGCAGGAAAAAAUAGCUGCUGCAUGGUAGAAGUGGGUAAGAAAUGUGUUGUGCUGCAUGCAAUAAUUAAGCUUUGCUUGGGGAAAAAAAACAUAAUGCAAAAAUGUGAAAACAUCAAGUGAGUGGACGUGAUUUGAUUUUUUUUUUUUUUGACCAGAUGUCCAGUCCCAAAGUUUUUUUUUUUUCCUCUUUAUUAUUUGGACCCUAUAUAUUUGAAACCCUUUAUAUCCAAAUAUCCCAUUGUAAACGUUGACAUUUUAGAUGGCAACAGGUUUUAACAGUUUUUAAAAUUUAAUUUUUAAUAUUCAAAAUGGACAAAAUGUGUUACCUGUAUGAUCUCUGAUAAGAAAUGAAAUGAGAAAUGAGUUACGAUCAUAUGCUACAUUACAGUGGACAAAACUGCAUUAGAAUGAAUGGAGUGAAUACACAGGCUUACUAUAAUCGUACAUAAAUGUAGCGAAAUACUGGAGACCUGACAAAAAAUGUGGGCAAAUUACUAAAUUGAGAUACAGUCAUAUGCAAAUGUUUCAGCAGUCCUGGUCAAAUAAGAUGUUUUGUUGAUUUCCUAAGUGAAAAUAUGUGAACAUCCUCUACAGAGGAAAUUUAAUGCACAAUUACUGUUUAUUUUCUGGAUUCAAUGUAUUGGGGAAAAUCAUAAAACAUAAUGUGGCCUGUGCGAAUGUUCUGGCGCAUAUUAUAAUUUUUUAAUCCAAUACGUUGGAUAAAGCACAUAAAUAGAAAUUGUGCACUAAAAUUAGCAUAUUUAAAGUCCCUGUAGAGGAUGUUAACUUUUUUCAGUCAAAAAAUGACCAGAUCCAGGGUGUGCAGAUCAUUUACGACUGCAGUCAGCUGACUGCUGUGAUUUAUAUUACAAAUUAUGUUUUGACUGGCCCAACAAAUUGUUAACUGAAGUUGUUGAAAGUUUAAUAUUGCAUAAUAAGAUGUUCUGACCCUGCUGUAACUUGCAUUGUUUGCCAAUGGAUGGAAAAACUGUAUGUUUGGUUAAAUCUAUGCACUACAGAUGCGCUGAGCAUGCUAAGAUGAACCUCUUUUUGAUUUUGUACAAUUAAAAAAAAAAUCUGCAUCAGAAAUUUAGCAAUAAAAACAGCAUGGUGCCAAUCCUA